AUGUUACAUGUCAACAAUCUUUUUAAUGUGUUUACGCAGAGCAUCCACCAUACAAGUCCCUGUGUAAGCUGUUA